GUAACCUCUCAGGGCGGGGUGAAAUUCCCCACCGGCGGUAAGCAAAAGGCCAACACCUUUCGUAAGCCCGCGAGCGCCUGUGCCUCUCUUGCGAGGGAUGCAGGGACAGCAGAUCCGGUGCAACUCCGGAGCCGACGGUCACAGUCCGGAUGAAAGAGAGAAGGA
rnacentral:ncRNA from 2 species